ACAGAAGGCGCCCGAUAAUCAGGCACUCAUAUCUUGACUUCUUGCAUGUCACUUCUUGCGAGGUGCACCUCGAGCACCCAUGAAGAAGACCGAGAGACACGGACACAGAAGACGACACACACGUGAUGCUGUUCAAGACAACACUCGCAUAUGAUGGAAGGAGCAUCGUCGAUGCAUGCUAGACAGCUGCCACAGCAACAUGUGUCAAGUCUUUUCUUGUGGUUCACGACGGCUUUUAGAGCCUUCUGGUGUAAAAUGGUCCGUCACCAGGGACAGGUUCACGGACUCGUCCAGGAUGCCAUCGGGUACCCGUUCUGGCCUCACCUACAAAAAGGAGGAGCACGUGAUAGGCCAAUGACAGUCUUCUCAGCUCUUUUCGGUCGACCACGCUUCCUGACAAUUGGUGGGCCCGGAUGUCUGAGAGGCUGGAUGUUCUGCCACCGACAUCCACAGAUGAGAAGCAGCAUUGCUGUUCAUGGUGCCUGGCUGCUCCUAGUGGAUCAUCAUUUACAACAGUUGUUGCCAGGGGAGUGGCUGCCUCUGAAGUGGAUUGAGUCUGAGGGCCCCCUUAAUUCUCAAUGCGCACGUGUGCUGCCCGUCAUCGUCGGCUGUAGGUGUGCUGGAGAUGUCAAGAGCAGGAUGUAGAAUACCCAGCCGUUUUUCCUUCAGGAAACGAAGGUCUUAAAGCUGCUGGAGGUAUUCCUCUCCAGUUGCCUCCGACGCCAGUUUGGCAAGAGGGAAGACGAUCAUGACAUGGAAUCCCUGCACCUCCAAAGGACGCAGAAAUCGUCAGAGAGGAAGUCUGCACUCUUUCC